CUUAAAGUUUCGAUCCGUGAGCCUGCAUCAGUGCAGUGCAUGGAUCUUAUAUAGCACCGAUGAAGGCAGAAGGCUGGAUCUGCAUGGAUCGAAAGUUUCGCCAAAGGCAAGGCCAAAGGGAUGCUGAACAUAUACAAUAUCUAUCACAAAACAAAACAAUUAUAUUUAUUUUUACAAUUAAUAAUAUAUUUAUGUGCACGUAAUCAACUACAAAUAGGUAUGAAG